GAUGAACGCUGGCGGCGUGCCUAAUACAUGCCAGUCGAGCGAACGGACGAGAAGCUUGCUUCUCUGAUGUUAGCGGCGGACGGGUGAGUAACACGUGGAUAACCUACCUAUAAGACUGGGAUAACUUCGGGAAACCGGAGCUAAUACCGGAUGAUAUUUUGAACCGCAUGGUUCAAAAGUGAAAGACGGUCUUGCCGUCACUUAUAGAUGGAUCCGCGCUGCAUUAGCUAGUUGGUAAGGUAACGGCUUACCAAGGCAACGAUGCAUAGCCGACCUGAGAGGGUGAUCGGCCACACUGGAACUGAGACACGGUCCAGACUCCUACGGGAGGCAGCAGUAGGGAAUCUUCCGCAAUGGGCGAAAGCCUGACGGAGCAACGCCGCGUGAGUGAUGAAGGUCUUCGGAUCGUAAAACUCUGUUAUUAGGGAAGAACAUAUGUGUAAGUAACUGUGCACAUCUUGACGGUACCUAAUCAGAAAGCCACGGCUAACUACGUG
rnacentral:rRNA from 1 species